GCAGGCUGGGCCUCAGGUCAGGCCUAGGGCCAUGGCCUUCACAGACCUGCUGGAUGCUCUGGGCGGCAUGGGCCGCUUCCAGCUCAUCCACAUGGCCCUGCUGCUGCUGCCCUGCGGCCUGCUGGCCUGCCACAACUUCCUGCAGAACUUCACGGCUGCUGUCCCCCCCCACCACUGCCGGGGCCCUGCCAACCAUGCUGAGGCCUCCACCAACGACUCGGGGGCCUGGCUGAGGGCCACCAUACCCCUGGACCAGCUUGGGGCCCCUGAGCCCUGCCGGCGCUUCACCAAGCCUCAGUGGCCCCUGCUGAGCCCCAACUCCUCCGUCCCGGGCGCGGCCACGGAGGGCUGCAAGGACGGCUGGGUCUAUAACCGCAGUGUUUUCCCGUCCACCAUCGUGAUGGAGGUCAGAAGGGGCUGGGUGCGUGGGGGGGCUGUUGCCGAGGCCCAGUCUGAAGCGCCCACGUCUUCCCUGCAGUGGGAUCUGGUGUGUGAGGCCCGCACUCUCCGAGACCUGGCGCAGUCCGUCUACAUGGCCGGGGUGCUGGUGGGGGCUGCCGUGUUUGGCAGCCUGGCAGACAGGCUGGGCCGCAAGGGCCCCCUGGUCUGGUCCUACCUGCAGCUGGCAGCUUCGGGGGCUGCCGCAGCGUAUUUCAGCUCCUUCAGUGCCUACUGCGUCUUCCGGUUCCUGAUGGGCAUGACCUUCUCUGGCAUCAUCCUCAACUCCCUCUCCCUGGUGGCUUCCAGAGUCAUCCCGCUGGCUCCUCCUGCAUGGCAAGUCCCAGUUAGUUGUACAGAAUCUGCAGAAGGUGGCUGCAAUGAACGGGAGGAAGGAGGAAGGGGAAAGGCUGACCAAGGAGGCGGUGAGCUCCUACAUCCAAAGCGAGUUUGCAAGUGUCCGCACCUCCAACUCAAUCUUGGACCUCUUCCGAACCCCGGCCAUCCGCAAGGUCACGUGCUGUCUCAUGGUGAUUUGGGUGGCAGGCAGCGCAGUUCUGGCUCUGGAGAGUGAGGGGUCUCCUGCGAACCCGGGUCCAGGAAUGGGCGGCUUCCUGCGGUAGCCCCGCCGGCCUGGGCUUGCCCUUGGUCCACCUUCCUCUUUCCGCGAGGGAGAAACAGAUCCUGAGUUCAAAAUUCCAGAGCUGAAAGUCCUCUCUUGGAUCCUUCUGGAAAGAGUAAGCAAAAGCCCGUUUUUGUUGAGAAAGUGACUCGGCAGCCAUCCGGAGCUCUCUGCCUGCAGGUGGGGCCAUUCUCCCAUGGAGCCGACCCGACCCGCUCAAAGCUGCCCCGGGCACCGCAGGUUUGGUUCGCGCACGCCGGGACUUACCAACCGCACCCGGAAAAUCGGGGCCAUGUCCAAAUGUUUCGCUUCGCUGCCGGCUGGGAGCCGCGCCGGGCUCGCGCCUUGGAUCAAUUGCACAGUCCUGGCUUUGGGGAGCGGGAGGCGGCGAGCGUGCCCCCCCACCCCUUCCUCACCAGUGUGUCUGGGG
rnacentral:sRNA from 1 species